AGGAGUGUGGUGAAAGGGGUAAACACAUCUGAUUUAGGAUCAGGUAUUUGCAGGUUCAAGUCCUGUUAUUCCUA
rnacentral:tRNA from 1 species